AAAUGAAUAGAAUCCUAGGCUUAGGCCAAAUUGAACUUGGCAUUUAAAGUCUAUGCCAAAACCUCUACUGAUAAAGAGAAGAGGCAAGGGUUGAGCCCCUGCAAAUCUAGAUUUGGUCCUCAUGUGGCCGUGGUGGGCGGUGCUGAUGUUGUUGGAACAUGGCUUGGCUGGUGAUAUUUUAGAGGGGCAUGUGUGUCCUUUAGGUCCUCUGGUGCCAGAGGACCUAAAGGACACACAUCCAUUGUGACUGUCAGGUUCAUUGUUUUAGGAGAGGCAAAUGAGAUGCUAAUGAGUAUGGGCGAGUUAAGGGAAGUUAAUACUGGUGGCGAUCAUCACACAGUUUAAUAUAGUUUGGAGGAUGCUUUGAUCCUUGCAAAGGUUGAAGUUAAAGGGUAUUUUGAAGGCUAUUGAUAUUGACAAUAGAUUUGAUAAGGAGGUGUUUCUGGAGCUGCUGAAGGGAGUGUUGUUUCAUAUUGGGUGCUUGAUAAAAUUGGAGGUUUGAGAAAACAAAUCAGCUUUUCUAUGAAGGUCUCUAAGAGGAGGUGAUGAAGCUAUUUGUUAUCGACUACAGUAAGAUGAGAGAGCAAGUUGUGUGCAGUUAUUGGAAAUGGAAAAUAUAGAUAUGGUGGAGUUUUGUAAGGACCAGAAUUUGAGAAAGCUCUUAUCAUCCAUUAAAUAGGAGAGCUAGACAAGUAGCAACAGUGAAGGGUGAUGCACCAAGAGCCACCAUAUCUGCAGUUGGCUGCUGUAACAAGUGCACCCUCUGAAAACUUUUCAGCAUUUAAGAAAUGUAAAAAUACUGAGAGGUUGCAAUGUAUUUGAAGUUAGGAAUCUACCUCAAGUUUGAGACAUUAUGUAAAAUCUCCUUCAAUUAUUGUUUCCAUUACCACUUGAUGAAAUGUGGAGGGAAGUCUAGUAAAUGGCUCUUCCUUUUGGAAGGAUUCCUCUUUGGCUAAUAUGUAUUGUAAUCGGUAUUCUCUCUAAUUGGUUUUAUAGGCAUGUUCUUCUAUGGUUCAUAUUCAGGAUUGGGUUCAUCUUUAUAGUAAAUGGAUGAAUUGAGUUGUUGACAUGAGAGUGUAAAAACCCAAUGAGACACACCCCCUCUUUUCUGAUAAGGUCCCAUUGUGUUCUUAAUAAUCAAAAGAUUUUAUUCAUAUAAACACCAAACAAAAUGGAUUCCCUUUUCUGAUGUGUCAAAAACCCUCUCUCUCUCUCCCCAUCUCUCCACCCCUCCCCCUCUGCCAAUUGGAAGACAUAUAUAGAUGCUAGUCAUUAGAAAUCGAUAAUUACUUUUAUUGUCU
rnacentral:lncRNA from 1 species